UUCUCUUCGGAGACAUCUAAUAAAAUUGGAACGAUAUAGAGAAGAUUAGCAUGGUCCCUGCGCAAGGAUGACACACACAAAACGAGAAAUGAUCAAUUUUUUU
rnacentral:snRNA from 1 species